GUAUUGGCAUGCUUGGGUCAACAGCUGUCAGUUGCAGUGUGAUGGAUGGCUGUUGGUCUGGGCCCUGCUGGUCCACGGCGGACAUCAAGUUGUGCUCUGUAUGGGAUAACUGAGGUGAUCUGGGCUCAUCACUCUGCGAACUCGCCAAUAGUGCCAGUGGUGGCUGGGGUGACACUGCCGAAAGUCUUCGCCUGGGUGGGGAUGACGGAGGUGCUGAAUCCGACCCAAGACGCCGUGUCUUAGUAGGCCUCCUGGAAUAUGUGACUACAGUGAAGACUUACCUGCAAUCCCAGCCUCAUCCUGACUUGUCUGAGGCCUGUCUGGGCGGCUGGUCUGUGUGACUGUGGAAAAAGUGACCCCAAUGACCCACUGAAAACCAUUAAUGUACUGUAAGCAUCUAUUAGAGUCACGAUUCCAGGCCAAUGACCUGGAAAGCAGGCAGACACUCAGUGCCAGCUUCCAGUGUAGACAGGAAGGAAGUAGAACAGACAGGGGACACAGACUACCCCAAACUCUUGCAGUCCUCCUGUAAAACAUCUCGUAACUCAUUACUAAUCUAUUGGAUUUUGAUACAGCCUGAAAAUGAAGUUACAGUAGUUAAAUAACACAUCGAACAGUGUUUUGUUUUUACCAAGAUUUUUAAUUAAAUUCGGAUUACUGCAACUAAACACAAAGACACAGGUAUUAGUGUAAAUGGCAGAUAAUGGAAUACAAAUGAAGUGACAACCAAAAACCCUCACUGCUGAACUGCACUUUGUAUGCUGAACACAAUACAAAAAGUGUUAUGUAGUAACUGUAUUCACAACCCGGACAUCUACACUACUUUAUUUGAAGAGAACCAACACUACACUUUACAGGGGAAAAAA